rnacentral:rRNA from 1 species
UUUUGUGGGGUGCUCGAGUGGCGAACGGGUGAGUAACACGUGAGUAACCUGCCCCUGACUUUGGGAUAACUUCAGGAAACUGGGGCUAAUACCGGAUAGGAGCUCCUGCUGCAUGGUGGGGGUUGGAAAGUUUCGGCGGUUGGGGAUGGACUCGCGGCUUAUCAGCUUGUUGGUGGGGUAGUGGCUUACCAAGGCUUUGACGGGUAGCCGGCCUGAGAGGGUGACCGGCCACAUUGGGACUGAGAUACGGCCCAG